CACCGAGAUCGACGAGGAAUGGGGAGGCGGCGCGCAAGCUCGAGGUGGAAGGAGACCAUGGUGGCUAGGGUUUCUCGAUGCGCGUGGGGAGGGCGCCGCCAGGCCAUUGACGAGCACUCUCGCGCUCCCAUCACCAUCCGCCAGCGUGUCUCCGGCGAGAGGAGGAGGCCACUGUUGACGAGCACGAUGAGGAUGAGGUCACGCGGGGGAAGACAUAGUCGGGCUUGCAUGAGGUGCUUGGCCUCCACUGAUGCGUCCUCAACUGCGUGGUGAGAAGUGGCUGCGGCAUCUGGCCGUCGGUGCGGCUCCGGUCGUGUUUACGACCAACACCAAGAGGAAAGCGACAAAUCAACUAGAGAAUUAGCCUGGACAAGUAUAUGAGUGAGAAAAGUUACAAGAAAAGGAUUUCUAGGAGCGUGUCGACCAUAACCAAAAGGAUGACCAUGACCAACAAAGAUGAUUUUGCUACAGACUGCAUGUUUGAUGAGGGAGAUGGACCGGGGAAGAAGGCGUUGGGGCUGUGGUGGGCGGCUAGCGGC